AUGAGACCGACGCGUGGGGCCCACUCCAGAGCACCCACGAAAAUCUUCUCCCGCACCAACGCGUUCCCCUUUACCUCGCCGCCGGCGCCACCGCGCCGUCGCGCAGCCAUGCUCCGUCUCCGCCUCCGAUGCCACGCCCUCUCCCAGCUCCUCUCGUCCCCAUCCUCGUCUCCCAUCUCCCAGCUCCUCGGCUACCACAGCCGCCUCCUCUCAGCGGCCGCGCCCGUCGUCUCCCCAAACCCUAGCUUCGCCGUCGAGGAUUACCUCGUCUCCACCUGCGGCCUCACCCGAGCGCAGGCCGCCAAGGCCUCCGCCAAGCUCUCCCACCUCAAGUCCCCCGCCAGGCCCGACGCCGUCCUCGCCUUCCUCGCCGGCCUCGGCCUCUCCGGCGCCGACGUGGCCGCCCUCGUCGCCAGGGACCCCCGGUUCCUCUGCGCCGGCGUGGAGACAAUACUGGCUCCCAACUUCGCCGGCUUAACCGGCCUCGGUCUCUCGCGUUCUGACAUCACGCGCCUCCUCUCGGUUGCCGGCAUACACUUCCGCUGCAGAUCCAUCGUCACCAAUCUACACUACCACCUGUCCCUCUUCGGCUCCACCGACAACUUCCUCCGUGCUCUCAAGCGCAACGGAUCCUGCAUUCUCUCGUCCGACCUCGACAGGGUGAUCAAGCCCAAUGUCGCGCUUCUGCGAGAGUUUGGGAUUGGUCCUUGUGAUAUUGCCAAGCUGUGUGCCGCUCAGCCAUGGUUGCUCACCUGCAAUGUAGAGCGUAUCCGGGCGAUGGCGGUGAGCGUCGAAGGUCUGGGUGUGCCCCGUGGAUCUGGGAUGUUUAGGCAUGCGCUGAAUGCUGUUGCUUUCGUCAGCGAGGAGAAAAUCGCCGCCAAAGUGGAGCAUUUGAAGAAAACGUUCAGGUGGUCGGAUGUUGAGGUGGGCAUUGCUAUUUCUAGGGCUCCAAAUGUGCUGAACAAGACUAAGGAGUUUCUGCAGAGAAGCCUGGAGGGCCGGGUAAGGCCCCGGAGCUACGUUGUGAAGUUUCUCAAGGCAAAUGGAUUGCUAGAUCCCGACCGGGACUUGUAUUCCGUGCUUGUACUGUCUGAGAAGGUAUUCAUGGAGAAGUACAUAUGCCCUCACAAGGAAGCUGCACCGUGCCUCGCUGGAGACUAUGCUGAUGCUUGCAAAGGGCUACUGCCGACUAAUUUCAGAUUUACAUGA
rnacentral:rRNA from 1 species